rnacentral:ribozyme from 1 species
UGCCCAGCAACACCUAUCCUUACCGCUUCGUGGUACUAGCCGGGGUACGAGUAACCUUAGGGGAGACCGGGUAACCAAACCCGGUGGGAGCUUUGGUCGUAUGCUAACAGGGAAGG